rnacentral:rRNA from 1 species
ACGCUCGACACCUACGUGAGGCAGCAGUGGGGAAUAUUGCACAAUGGGGGAAACCCUGAUGCAGCGACGCCGCGUGAGCGAAGAAGUAUUUCGGUAUGUAAAGCUCUAUCAGCAGGGAAGAAACUGACGGUACCUGACUAAGAAGCACCGGCUAAAUACGUGCCAGCAGCGCGGUAAUCUGAGGCGGGCUGGCAAGGC